AGCCUCAGGUUUCCCAAAUAUAUUAUGAGAGGAAUAAUGCUUCCUUUGCCUCACUAGAUUGCAGGAAUCUAGUGAGGUGAGGGAUAGUGCCAACUGUGAAGGGCCGUACACAUCUGUAAGUGGCUGUUCGUGCAUUGACCUCAUGUAGAGACCCAUGAGAUGGAUAUCGCAAGGCCUGGAGCGGAGAAGUUGAGGGAGUGGACCCUGGGGUCAGCUGGACCUGGGUCCUACUCCUGCUUCUGCCAUUUCCUGGCUGGGUGACCUUGGGCAAGUCAAUGAGCUCUCAGAGUCUAAUAUGCGGCCCUCGCUGAUGCUCUGCAGGGGAAGGGGAAUGAUCUGGAGAGGCAGUGGGUUCUCUCUACCUUCCUGGCUGUUGUUAUGUCAUGCCCAUCCCAUCCCCAUUUCAGCCAUGCUGGGGGAGUUACCUGUCC
rnacentral:lncRNA from 1 species